AAAAAAAAAAAAAAAAAUGAAUGGUUGCCUAUGAUAUCUGACAUCUAAGAAUAAUUUCAUGGAAUAUUUCUUACUCUGCAUUUUCUCUUAAUGUGGCAAUGAGCCUUUCCUGUAAAGAUGUUUGUUCUUUGCUUUUACUGUUGACAUCUACUUGUGUAUUUAUUUUUUUUUCCUUUUGUGGAUUUAAGUGGGUUGGCAAUGUGAAAUAUUAUUGUUGAUAAUCUUCCAAUUAUCUUGUUGUUUAGUUCCCUCCCUUUAAACUUAGACUUUAAACUUAGAAAAUACAUAUAUUGUGCAAUAAAUUAUAGAAUUAUGGGCUGAUACAAGUGCCAUAUCUUUGUUGCAGUGCACCAGCUGAU
rnacentral:misc_RNA from 1 species